UGGUCUUGACAUCCCGAUGACAGAUGAGCAAUGUCAUCCUUACUUCGGUACAUCGGAGACAGGUGGUGCAUGGUUGUCGUCAGCUCGUGUCGUGAGAUGUUGGGUUAAGUCCCGCAACGAGCGCAACCCUUAUCUUUAGUAGCCAGCAGUGAGAUGGGCACUCUAAAGAGACUGCCGGGGAUAACCCGGAGGAAGGUGGGGAUGACGUCAAAUCAUCAUGCCCCUUAUGACCAGGGCUACACACGUGCUACAAUGGCGUAAACAAAGGGAGGCGAAAGUGUGAGCUGGAGCGAAUCCCAAAAAUAACGUCUCAGUUCGGAUUGUAGUCUGCAACUCGACUACAUGAAGCUGGAAUCGCUAGUAAUCGCGAAUCAGCAUGUCGCGGUGAAUACGUUCCCGGGUC
rnacentral:rRNA from 1 species